AUCUAGCUGACGAGUCGAAAAUAGGACGAAGAGCUUACAU
rnacentral:hammerhead_ribozyme from 1 species